GGUGGCUGCAUAAGCCGGUCGUGAAAUCCCCGGGCUUAACCUGGGAAUUGCGAUCGGGACUGUGCGGCUAGAGUGUCGGAGAGGACAGCGGAAUUCCCGGUGUAGCAGUGAAAUGCGUAGAUAUCGGGAGGAACAUCAGUGGCGAAGGCGGCUGUCUGGCCGAACACUGACGCUCAGGUGCGAAAGCGUGGGGAGCAAACAGGAUUAGAUACCCGAGUAGUC
rnacentral:rRNA from 1 species